rnacentral:tRNA from 1 species
UCCUCGAUAGUAUAGUGGUGAGUAUACAAGCCUGUCAAAUACGCGCAGCGUACAGAUCGCUUGGGACCCGGGUUCAAUUCCCGGUCGGGGAG